rnacentral:rRNA from 1 species
GACGAACGCUGGCGGCGUGCCUAAUACAUGCAAGUCGAGCGCAGGAAACUGACGGAACUCUUCGGAGGGAAGGCAGUGGAAUGAGCGGCGGACGGGUGAGUAACACGUAAGGAACCUGCCUCAAGGAUUGGGAUAACUCCGAGAAAUCGGAGCUAAUACCGGAUAGUUCAACGGACCGCAUGGUCCGCUGAUGAAAGGCGCUCCGGCGUCACCUUGAGAUGGCCUUGCGGUGCGUUAGCUAGUUGGUGGGGUAACGGCCCACCAAGGCGACGAUGCAUAGCCGACCUGAGAGGGUGAUCGGCCACACUGGGACUGAGACACGGCCCAGACUCCUACGGGAGGCAGCAGUAGGGAAUCUUCCACAAUGGACGAAAGUCUGACGGAGCAACGCCGCGUGAGUGAUGAAGGUUUUCGGAUCGUAAAACUCUGUUGUAAGGGAAGAACACGUACGAGAGGAAAUGCUCGUACCUUGACGGUACCUUACGAGAAAGCCACGGCUAACUACGUGCCAGCCGCCGCAGUAACAC